UCAAUUUAAAAAAAAUGUGACCAUAUCAAGUCCUGACGACAGGCAUAUUAUUAUAGUACACGAUUUCCUCUUUCCAAUGAUAUAUUAUGUAGGUGUGUGUUCGGUGGGGAGAUUAAAUUCCAAAAAAUCUGCCUUCUGUCACCGCACUAAAGGACGUAUAACUAAUAUACGUCCUUGCAUGUCGACUGUCGUUCUAGAAGAACCAACUUUUUUUCGAUUGAAGUCUCACUUACUUUUCUGUGUUCUCACAAUAUCUUGGUUAUAUCUUAGAGUAUAUUUUAACAAAAAUCUUCUGUUUUUCCAUUUCUUUCACAAUUACAGGAAACAGACUUUUGACAGGGGGCGCGAAAUCUGAUGCGCAUAUAUAGUGCAACUCGUUUCAGGACUUAUUUCUCCGGAAAAUCUCAUGAUAACUAUAUCAGACAAGGUUGCAGUCGCAGUGGCGGAUCCAGGUUGACGUAGAGGGCGUACACUGAGGGGGGAUAUAGGACCUUUAUCGGGACUCCGGGAUCGGGUGUUUUUAAGCUCGGGAUUUGGGAUUGGAUUGACCCUUUCGGGAUCCGGGAAUUCUAUUUUUUUUUUUAAUUUCGGGAUGUCGGGAUUUUAUAUUUUUAAGUUCGAGUUGUCAGGAUUUAAUAUUUUAAGUUCGGGACCUCAGGAUGACGUGUGAUCAUGACCCCUCUUACUCCCCCUCUACACUCCCCCUUUGAACGAAAAAAAAGAGUACCCAUGUUACUCACGAUUUAUAUGUUUUUUUACAAUAAAGUUG
rnacentral:lncRNA from 1 species